CCAGGAACCAUGGUGGAGCAACGCCGUGGGAAGACCGUAUAAAAAGCAAGCACCCUUGCCAGCAGCAUCCAGUGGGGACGGCAGCAACGCGUGGGUGCUCAAACAAGUUUCUGCUAUUUCAACAGAGGCAACGCUGUUGGAAACUCUGUUUACGUGAAACGCCAUGGAUUAUAACAAGAAGUAUCCUUUUUCUACGGUAGGCAAGAUCCAAAAAUCGCAGGUUGGCGCUGACACCGGCCAGAUAUAGCCUUCGCUGCACCGCACGCAAUUGGGCAACUUCGUUAUUGUGAUUUGUAAAGUAUGCA